AUGGAAGAAGAGAUCACUGCGCUCAUCAUUGACAAUGGCUCUGGCAGGUGCAAAGCUGGCUUUGCUGGGGACGAUGUUCCCUUCCAUCGUUGGGCGCCCCAGGCACCAGGUCACGAUGGUGAGCAUGGAUGGGUCAGAAUGACUCCUACAUGGGUGAUGAGGCCCAGAGCAAGUGCAGCAUCCUGACCCUGAAGUAUUCCAUUGAGCAGGGCAUGGUCAUCGACUGUGACAACAUGGAGAAGAUCUGGCACCACACCUUCUACAACGAGCUGUGUGUGGCUCCGAGGAGCAUCCGGUGCUGCUGACUGAAGCCCCCCUGAACCCCAAGACCAGCAGAGAAAAGAUGACUUAUAUCAUGUUUGAGAACUUCAACACCCCAGCCAUGUGUGUGGCCAUCCACACCUUGCUGUCCCUCUAGUCCUCUGAUUGCACCAGUGGUGUUGUCACGGACUCUGGAGACAGGGUCGCCCACACGGUGCCCAUCUGCCCUGACCAACUACCUCAUGAAGAUCCUCACCGAGUAUGGCUACAGCUUCACCCCCACAGCUGAGUGGGAGAUUGUGGGCGACAUCAAGGAGAAGCUGUGCUAUAUUACCCUGGACUUUGUGCAGGAGGUGGCCACCACCGCAUCCUCUUUGUCCCCAGAGAAGAGCUAUGUGCCGCCCGACAGCAGGUCAUCAUCAUCAGCAAUGAGUGGGUCUGGUGUCCAGAGGCAAUGUUCCAGCCUUCUUUCCUGGCCACCAAACUGUGCAGAACCCACAAAACCACCUUCAGCUCUAUUGUGAAGUGUGAUGUGGAUUUACAAAUACCUGUAGUCCAAGACGGUGCUGUCCUGCAGCACCAGCGUGUACCCAGAUAUCACGGACAGGAUGUAGAUCACUGCCCUGGCGCCCAGCAUCAUGAAGAUCAGGAUCAUCACACUCCCUGAGCACAUGUAAACGGUGUGGAUUGGCGGCUCCAACCCGGCCUCAUUGUCUACCUUCCAGAAGAUGUGGAUUAGCAGGCAGGUGUACAAGGAGUCGAGCCCCUCCACCGUCCACUGCAAAUGCUUCUAAAUUGACUGCAAGCAGAUGUCUAGCAUUUACUGCAUGGGUUAAUUCAGAAGAAUAAAUUUCCCCCUGGCAAAUGCAUAUACCCCAUGCUAGCCUCAUGAAACUUGAAUAAACCUUCAAAAAGAAAUUCGUCCUUGAAGCUUGUAUCUGAUACCAACACUGGACUGUAGAACUUAUUGAUGAUUUUGACCUUAUAUGCAAGUUAACUGUUCCCCUGGUACUUGUUUAAUACCCUGUACAUAUCUUUGAUUUCAACCCUUAGUACAUGUGGCUUGGUCACUUCGUGGCUGAGG